ACUCUACGUGGACUGCUSCGGAUAACGGAGAGGAAGGUGGGGAUGACGUCAAGUCCGCAUGGCCUUUAUGUCCAGGGCUACACACGUGUUACAAUGCAGGGCACAAACCGUUGCCAACCCGCGAGGGGGAGCUAAUCGGAAAAAACUCUGCUCASUUCGGAUUGCAGUCUGCAACUCSACUGCAUGAAGCCGGAAUCGCUAGUAAUGGCGUAUCA
rnacentral:rRNA from 1 species